UUUGUGGCUUCAUGGUAAGGACACUUGCCUCUCACGCUAGAGUCCCGGGUUCAAUCUCCGGUUGAGAAG